GCCCUUAUAGCUCAGUGGUAGAGCGCAGCACUUGUAAGAUUUCACCUUCUAGGAGAAAUGUGUCAGGAAUGCUGAGGUCCAUCGUUCAAUCCGGUGUGGGGGCA